AGAGCAGGCCAGUUCCAUAAGUAAUAUAAUUGCCCAGGCCACCAAGUGAGAUACGAAAGAGCAAUUGUAUUUUGCAUUGGUUGAUUUUGAAGUGCUGUGCAGUCAGCUGUUGAUGUUUAUUACAAUUUUCCUUGUUGAUAUGUGAAGUAUAUGUUAUUCUAGAAUUUUAUCACACUGGAUAGCUAUUGUGAUUCACCUAGAAUCUGUCCAAUGUGAUUCAUAUGAUUGUGGCCUUUGUCAAGUGAAAUUUAUUAUUAACUCAAUUGUUCUGUG
rnacentral:misc_RNA from 1 species